rnacentral:lncRNA from 10 species
AUGGGGUGUAUACUGACCUGUUGUAUCGACUCCAGCUGUGGCUGGUGCAAGGGGGAGGAGGAACCCUGUUAUGAAUCUGAUACUUAUGAGGCUGUGGCUGCUGCAACAUCAGAAUCCACUACUGUAGAGCCUGGCAAGCUGGAUGUGGGAGCCACGGAGGGCCACGACCUGCAGCACAUCAGCAACCAAAAGAUGCCCACAGGUCCCCCUGAGGACAGCCUGAGUUUAAAAUCUCUACCACCAAGUGAGGAAGACAAUGACGAUGCCCAGAUUUUACCAUCACCUGUGCAGGGUACGUACCUUGAACUAACUCACUUUCUGAGAAACAAACUUGCUGGCUUUAAUAUAUAGAAACCUUAAUCUGGGUUCCUGUUAAAAAAUGUUGGGAGUCUGGUGAGAGCAAAUGAUUUUACAAGUGUAUAGGUAUGAGCAGAGGGGCUGUAGAAAUGUGUGUGAACCCAGAG